rnacentral:rRNA from 1 species
GUGUCAGCCGCCGCGGUAAUACGUAGGGGGCGAGCGUUGUCCGAAGUUACUGGGCGUAAAGCGCGCGUAGGCGGGCCUUUAAGUCGGGUGUGAAAUCUCAGGGCUCAACUCUGAAACUGCACUCGAAACUGGGGGUCUUGAGGCAUGCAGAGGGAAGUGGAAUUCCUGGUGUAGCGGUGAAAUGCGUAGAUAUCAGGAGGAACACCCGUGGCGAAGGCGGCUUCCUGGGCAUGUCCUGACGCUGAGGUGCGAAAGCCAGGGGAGCGAACGGGAUUAGAUACCCCGGUAGUCCUGGCCGUAAACGAUGGAUACUAGGUGUUAGAGGUAUCGACCCCUCUAGUGCCGCAGCUAACGCAAUAAGUAUCCCGCCUGGGGAGUACGGCCGCAAGGUUGAAACUUAAAUGAAUUGACGGGG